AUACGGAGGGUGCAAGCGUUAAUCGGAAUUACUGGGCGUAAAGAGUACGUAGGUGGUUUAUUAAGUCAGAUGUGAAAGCCCCGGGCUCAACCUGGGAACUGCAUUUGAAACUGAUAAGCUAGAGUAUGGUAGAGGGGGGUAGAAUUUCUAGUGUAGCGGUGAAAUGCGUAGAUAUUAGAAGGAAUACCAGUGGCGAAGGCGGCCCCCUGGACCAAUACUGACACUGAGGUACGAAAGCGUGGGGAGCGAACAGGAUUAGAUACCCUAGUAGUCC
rnacentral:rRNA from 1 species